rnacentral:lncRNA from 1 species
GGGGUAUAUUGUAACCUUUUAUGUUAUCUAGUAAUACAGUAAGAUGUAGAUGAAUUAAGAACAAAUUUUUAACGUCCAUUAUCACUGAACUAGUAUGCAUAUUUGUUUAGGGGCCAGGUGAAGGACGCCUCCGGGUGCGGUUAUUUCUAGCUACAUUGAAGACCCAUUGGUGGCCUUCGGUUGUUGUCUGCUCUAUGGUCGGGUUUGUUGUCAUUUUGACACAUUCCCCUUUUCCAUUCUCAUUUUUUUUUUAUAGCAUAUUAUGUAACGUUUCUACAUAUUACGUUAGUAUUUAUACAAAUUUCUAAUAUUUGAAAAUGCACAUCCCCAUCGACUGAAAUGGUCCUCACAUAUACAUGAUAUUAUACAUAAUCAGAUAAUAUAGGGAUAAAGUUCAGAUUUGUAAUUUAACUAUUCAUCUUUUUGUUCGUUUGUUCGUUCAUUGAUGAUUGUUUGUUUCUUUGUUUUUUUUUUGUUUCUGUCUUUCUUUUUCUUAUUCAUAUUGUUGUGAUAUGAUAUAAGACAUUACUGUUGAUAAAUAACAUAAAACAUCCUUACCUUUGUACAUGAAAUUUAAAACACGUCAUCCAAAAUUGUUCCUUUCGGUUUGUCCGAAAAUUUAAAAAUAAAUCGGGGAUUUUC